rnacentral:rRNA from 1 species
UUAUCCGGAUUUAUUGGGCGUACAGGGUGCGUAGGCGGUUGUGUAAGUUUAAGGUUAAAUCCCAGAGCUCAACUCUGGUUCGCCUUAAAAACUACGCGACUAGAAUGUGACAGAGGUAAACGGAAUUCCAUGUGUAGCGGUGAAAUGCGUAGAUAUAUGGAAGAACACCUGUGGCGAAAGCGGUUUACUGGGUCAUUAUUGACGCUGAUGCACGAAAGCGUGGGGAGCAAAUAGGAUUAGAUACCCUAGUAGUCCACGCCGUAAACGUUGAGUAUUAAGUGUCGGACUUAAGUUCGGUGCUGCAGCUAACGCAUUAAAUACUCCGCCUGAGUAGUAUGCACGCAAGUGUGAAACUCAAAGGAAUUGACGGGGACCCGCACAAGUGGUGGAGCAUGUGGUUUAAUUCGAAGCAACACGAAGAACCUUACCAGGGCUUGACAUCCAGUGCAAUGGUAUAGAGAUAUACCGGAGGCUAACAUUGAGACAGGUGGUGCAUGGUUGUCGUCAGUUCGUGCCGUGAGGUGUUGGGUUAAGUCCCGCAACGAACGCAACCCUUGUCAUUAGUUACUAACAUUCAGUUGAGGACUCUAAUGAGACUGCUAGUGUAAGCUAGAGGAAGGUGGGGAUGACGUCAAAUCAUCAUGCCCCUUAUGUCCUGGGCUACACACGUGCUACAAUGGCUGAUACAAAGAGUCGCAAUCCCGCAAGGAGGAGCUAAUCUCAGAAAGUCAGUCUCAGUUCGGAUUGAAGGCUGCAACUCGCCUUCAUGAAGCCGGAAUCACUAGUAAUCGCGGAUCAGCGAUGCCGCGGUGAAUACGUUCUCGGGUCUUGUACACACCGCCCGUCACACCACGAGAGUUGGUAAUACCAGAAGCAGGUGGCCUAACCUUUUAA